GCCCCGGUAGUGUAGCCCGGAAAUGACCCAUGCGGUUAUUGGGUAAACAAUCAUUUCGCCCUCUCGAGGCGAAGACCCGAGUUCAAAUCUCGGCCGGGGCA
rnacentral:tRNA from 1 species